CAGUAGCCGCGGGAAUACGAAGGGUGCAAGCGUUAAUCGGAAUUAUUGGGCGUAAAGGGUGCGUAGGCGGUUUCGUAAGUCUGAUGUGAAAUCUAUGGGCUCAACCCAUAGUCUGCAUCGGAAACUGCGAGGCUUGAGAGUGGGAGAGGUGAGUGGAAUUUCCGGUGUAGCGGUGAAAUGCGUAGAUAUCGGAAGGAACACCUGUGGCGAAAGCGGCUCACUGGACCAUUUCUGACGCUGAUGCACGAAAGCUAGGGGAGCAAACAGGAUUAGAUACCCGCGUAGUCCCUGUCUCUUAACA
rnacentral:rRNA from 1 species